rnacentral:rRNA from 1 species
UACAGAGGUUACAAGCGUUAUCCGGAUUUAUUGGGCGUAAAGCGUUUCGUAGGCGGAUUUUUAAGUUAUUCUUCAAAGACUACGGCUUAACCGGAGGAAGGGGGGUAAUACUGGAAGUCUUGAUUUUUAGUGGGGUAUCUGGAACUGAUGGUGUAGUAGUGAAAUACGUUGAUAUCAUCAGGAACUCCGAGGGCGAAGGCAGGAUACUAACUAUUAUAUGACGCUGAGGAACGACAGCUAGGGGAGCGAAAGGG